AUAUCAAUAAGCGGAGGAAAAGAAACUAACAAGGAUUCCCCUAGUAACGGCGAGUGAAGCGGGAUGAGCUCAAAUUUAAAAUCUGGCUGGUUUACCGGUCCGAGUUGUAGUUUAAAGAAGCGUUUUCGGUGGCAGCCUGGGUAUAAAUCCUUUGGAACAGGGUAUCAUAGAGGGUGAGAAUCCCGUCUUUGACUCAGUGCUAUGUUACUAUGUGAUACGUUUUCAAAGAGUCGAGUUGUUUGGGAAUGCAGCUCAAAAUGGGUGGUAAAUUUCAUCUAAGGCUAAAUAUUGGCGAGAGACCGAUAGCGAACAAGUACCGUGAGGGAAAGAUGAAAAGAACUUUGAAAAGAGAGUUAAACAGUGCGUGAAAUUGUUGAAAGGGAAACGUUUGACACCAGCUAUGCAGGCGAAAAAUCAGUCAACUGCAGUAAGGGGUUGUGUGGGUCCGGACCGCAAGGCCGGCCUGUAUUUCACCUUUGCUUUAGGUGAUGCACUUUUUCGUCCGCAGGUCAACAUCAGUUUCGCUUGCUGGACAAAACUGCAAGAGAAGGUAGCAGCUUAGGCUGUGUUAUAGCUCUGGAGCGAUACAGUGGGUGGGACUGAGGAUUCGCAAUGUGUGCUCUCGGGCAAGGCCGACUGGGUGCUGUGGGGUUGUUUGGCGUACAAAGCAUGCAUUUUGCGCCUUGUCUUCUUCAUACUCGCUCAAUUCGGCUCUUCCACGCUUAGGAUGUUGACUUAAUGGUUUUAAACGA
rnacentral:rRNA from 1 species